GAAUCACUAGUUAGAUAUCCACCUUCAGGCCAAUCAAUUAACUGAGAUAGAAAAGGCGAAACGUUAAAAUGAACCAGGAUAAAAAGAAUAAAAAUGACGAAAAAAAAGAAAGAAAGAUUGAUGCCCGUUAUGCAAGCUGUUAAAAACUCAACAUGUUAAGGUAUCACCUAUACAUGUAAAUAUAAAGCUGUUAAUUGACAAGAGCUUUAGAGGAAAGAGUGAGUGGACCAUGAAAAAUGCUAUGGUGUUAGAACAAGAACCAGACUUCUGAGAGCUCGCCUCAUCACGCGAGAAUUGUUAUGCAACGAAACUGUCAUGCUGGGCUGGAUAGUAGGAGUACGAAGGGCAGGGACAUAAGUUUCCAGUUGACAAAUUGACAAGUCUGGGAAGAGUAGAACAACAUGGCGAGAAAGGGAUAUGAGUUUCGACUGUCAGCAACAGACCGCCUCCGUUUCAGAAGCUUCAUGCUUUUAGCCAAUCAUAACCUUCCUCACACACCGGUAGGUCCUUUUUCAAGGGUUGUUUCCUAACAAUUUCCAGGGCAUGUAGGACUUAGCAGGUUUAAAAAGUUCGUUUCUGUUCCUCUGUGCAUCUCUAUGAUAGAUAAAUCCCCAUGAGAAAGGGAAAACUUUCGUGCAGUUUGGGAUCGGAUUUAACUGUUGAGAUUUUCUCUAAAUCUUCAUAGAUUUAAAAAGUUCGUUUCUGUUCCUUUGUGCAUCUCUAUGAUAGAUAAAUCCCCAUGAGAAAGGGAAAACUUUCGUGUAGUUUGGGAUCGGAUUUAACUGUUGAGAUUUUCUCUAAAUCUUCGUAGAUCUCUUCUAGUUCCUCAAUCUUCACAGAAUGUGGAGUUGAAUUAUUAUAAGUUCUUUUUUCUAAACAUUUCCUGAAAGUAGAUGAGCUCAUGAAUUUGAUUGAA